UACGAAGGGGGCUAGCGUUGCUCGGAAUCACUGGGCGUAAAGCGCACGUAGGCGGAUCUUUAAGUCGGGGGUGAAAUCCCGGGGCUCAACCCCGGAACUGCCUUCGAUACUGAGGAUCUUGAGUCCGGGAGAGGUGAGUGGAACUGCGAGUGUAGAGGUGAAAUUCGUAGAUAUUCGCAAGAACACCAGUGGCGAAGGCGGCGCACUGGCCCGGUACUGACGCUGAGGUGCGAAAGCGUGGGGAGCAAACAGG
rnacentral:rRNA from 1 species